rnacentral:rRNA from 1 species
UACGUAGGGCGCGAGCGUUGUCCGGAAUUAUUGGGCGUAACGAGCUCGUAGGCGGUCUGUCGCGUCGGAUGUGAAAGCCCGGGGCUUAACCCCGGGUCUGCAUUCGAUACGGGCAGACUAGAGUGUGGUAGGGGAGAUCGGAAUUCCUGGUGUAGCGGUGAAAUGCGCAGAUAUCAGGAGGAACACCGGUGGCGAAGGCGGAUCUCUGGGCCAUUACUGACGCUGAGGAGCGAAAGCGUGGGGAGCGAACAGG